CCCUUAGAUGUCCGGGGCCGCACGCGCGCUACACUGAAGGAAUCAGCGUGGCUUUCUCCCUGACCCGAAAGGGUUGGGAAACCCGUUGAAUCUCCUUCGUGAUAGGGAUUGGGGCUUGAAAUUGUUCCCCAUGAACGAGGAAUUCCCAGUAAGCGCGAGUCAUAAGCUCGCGUUGAUUACGUCCCUGCCCUUUGUACACACCGCCCGUCGCUCCUACCGAUUGAAUGUUCCGGUGAGCUCUUCGGACUGCGCGGUCUGCAGUUUCUGCGUUCCGUGCGGAAAGUUGCGCAAACCUUAACAUUUAGAGGAAGGAGAAGUCGUGACA
rnacentral:rRNA from 1 species